GUCCAUACUCUUCACUUGACCAUGAAAACAUUACUUGAAGGAAUGAUGAGGCUGGCCAGAGACCUGAUUGAUAACAUCACUUUCUAUUUUUAAGGAAGAAUUUUAUCUGGGUUUCUCAGUUCUGUGGAGCCUCCGGUCUGCCUGUGGGUCUGACCAUCACAGCAGCACUCCAGCACGCAGCUUGGCCUGCGGCAGGAGAGCAAUGCUCAUGUUUGGAAGUCCAGCUUCUGUGCAGCCACACAGGAUCCAAUAUCAGUUCCAUUUCCAUUCCUAUAGUCAGGCUGGGGUCGCAUUAUAGUGCCUUAUUUCCUUAAGGGUAAUUAUGUUUAGUAUCUGCAGAUAAGAUGCAUUAAUUUUUCAGAGUUUGCAUCUUUCAUUUUUCAAAGAGAAGAGAUUUUCAAUAGGAACUGAUCAGAGAGGAGAAAAGAAGUGACAAGAAACAGCUAGUUAGGUUUAAAGAGUCUCCUCACUGGGGUCCACGCUGACGGAAUAUCUGGGGUGGGCUGGAUCUUGUAGACGAGCUCCCUCCUUGGAGAGGGAACAGAAACUUGGGUCCCACUGACUGCUUUAAGGACUUCUGGCAUUUAAUUUUCAAUACUUGGUUCCUGUUUCCCAAGGUAAAUAUUGGCAUGUAUAGUCUGACUACAGGAUAGAGAAUUUUUAGUGAAAUGUCUUGCCAUACUUGCAGUAAUGGUAAACUGUCCUUCACAGUGGCUAGAGCUCUUUUUCUGCAAAAGUAAAUGAGAAAGUGCAGUAAUGGAGGUCAACGAUGAGCGGCGUUUUUCUAAUCAGAGUAGUACAGUGCUGAUCUGUUAUAUCAUCUUGCAGGUUUGAAAAAAAAAAAGCCUGCUGAGCAACAACUUACUGUAACGUAGCACAAAAAAUGUCAUGAUUGAUGUUCUUUGGGAAUGUCAGUUGCUAUCUCUUUAAAACUUGAUUUGGUUUUCUCUGUCCUACAAAUAUCUUUAGUAAGAGCGCAAGAAAUUACAGAACACUGUGCCAAAUUCUUUGGGUAAGUUACAUAAAAAUGAGGGGUGUUUGUUGUGAAGGUAUUUUUCACAUGACAUAUAAUCACAUUAAAACAUCUCCACCUCAGCAAUACAGGGAGGUUAGCUUUGCCUGGGAAAGUGUCUCAAAACACUGGAGCAAGUAGCAUUUCUCCUCCAGAGAUUCAGUGGUCAGCAUGAAGAUAAAGUAUCUGAAGUCCUUUUUUCUCCAUUGUUUGUUGACUAUCAAAGUUUGGAUUUUGGGGAAAGAACACCCUAUGUGAUCCUACAGCCUUGGAUCUGGAUUGACCAUUUGGGCAGAGCACAAAUGGA
rnacentral:lncRNA from 1 species